GGGGCAAGCAUUUGCCAAGGAUGUGAUCGUUAAUCGGUGAAGGGAAGGUUGAAAGAUAGAAGACGAUCUAAUACGGUCGUAGUUUUAUCCAUAAAAUAUGGAGUCAAGCGAUUCGGAGGUGUUAAUAUUUUGCCCCCGUUCGGCACUGUAACGAGAAAUCAAAGUUAUUGGGUUAUGGGGGGAGGUGGGUCGAAUGGCUGAAACUUAAGGAGUUUGGCGGAAAGGCGCCUCCAGGAGUGGAGCCUGCGGAUUAAUUGGCUUCGACGCGGGGAGACUCAACAGGUCCAGACACAAUAGGGAGGCCAGAUGGAGAGCACAUUCCCGAUAUUGUGAGUAGUGGUGCAUGGCCGUUAUUAGUUGGUGGAAUUAUUAGUCAGAUCCAAUGUGAUAACGGACGAGACUGAAACCUGCUUGAUAGCCAGAUCUCGUUUUGUUGGAUCCCCUGCUUCUUAGAGGGACUAUAGCCUCAAGCCGAUGGAAGUUUGAGGCAAUAACUGGUCUGUGAUGCUCAUUACAAGUUCUGGGCCGCGCGCGCCCUACACCGACAGAGCGCGCGAGUUCAUUUCCUUAGCUGAAAGGUUCGCGAACGCUGGUAA
rnacentral:rRNA from 1 species